rnacentral:rRNA from 1 species
AUUGAACGCUGGCGGCAGGCUUAACACAUGCAAGUCGAACGGUAACACGCUACAAGGUUCUUACUAGGGGCGGAGGGUGGCGUAAGGCAUCGGAACGCACCGGGACGUGGUUUUUAGCUGGGGGAAAGGUUGGCAAAUACACCAUACGACCUAUUGCUGCCUACGGGUGAACGUAGGGCCUCUCCGGAUUUGGCGGGCCUGUAUGAGACGAUGUCGGAUUAGGUAGUUGGCGGGGUAAAGGCCCACCAAGGCGACGAUCCGUAGCUGGUCUGAGAGGACGAUCAGCCACACUGGAACUGAGACACGGUCCAGACUCCUACGGGAGGCAGCAGUGGGGAAUAUUGGACAAUGGGCGCAAGCCUGAUCCAGCCAUGCCGCGUGGAUGAAGAAGGCCUUCGGGUUGUAAAGCCCUUUUGUUCGGAAAGAAAAGCAUCUGGUUAAUACCCCGCUGUUCUGACGGUACCCAAAGAAUAAGCACCGGCUAACUUCGUG